rnacentral:rRNA from 1 species
UACGUAGGGGGCAAGCGUUGUCCGGAUUUAUUGGGCGUAAAGAGCGUGUAGGCGGCCAUGUAGGUCCGUUGUGAAAACUCGAGGCUCAACCUCGAGACGCCGAUGGAAACCAUGUGGCUAGAGUCCGGAAGAGGAGAGUGGAAUUCCUGGUGUAGCGGUGAAAUGCGCAGAUAUCAGGAAGAACACCCGUGGCGAAGGCGGGUCUCUGGGCAGUAACUGACGCUGAGGAGCGAAAGCGUGGGGAGCGAACAGG